GUUGUUAUGCAAUGGCUCAAAUACCUAAAGAGAAAAUUAAGAAAUGGGACUCUAAAUCACAGAAACUUAUUUUUGUUGGUUAUUGUGAAAAUAGUAAAGGAUAUAGAUUAUUAGAUUCCAAAACAAAAAAUAUCAUAAAAAGUAGAAAUGUAAUUUUCCUAGAGAAUAGUAUAACAAGAAAUGUGGUUCCUCUCUCAUUGUCAGAAUCAGAAAAUAAAGAAUCAGAUCAUGUAAUUGAAAGUUUUUCAAACCGUGAAGAUAACACCACAGAUUUGUCGUCUCAUACACCCGUGGAUCACAGCGAUGGUUCUGAUGACCCUGAGUAUGUACCGGAGAUGUCAGUGAAGUAUCCUCAGAGUUCUAAUAUUACACUUCGUCCUCGAAAUAAAAUUAAAAAGAACACAGAACCUAAGACAUACCUAUGCUCAAGUAAUGUACCACUCUCUGUCACACCACAAACAUAUGCAGAAGCAUUGUCAUCAAAAGACUCUAACUUGUGGAUGAAGUCGAUUGAAGAAGAGCUGAAAGCACAUAGUGAUAAUGGUACAUGGCAGUUAGUAGAACAGCCACCUGAAGCUAGAGUUAUAGGAUGUAAAUGGGUGUUUCGUAUAAAGGAUUAAAAUGAAGGACUAAGGUACAAAGCAAGGCUAUGCGCUAAAGGAUUCACACAGAAAAGCGGUAUUGACUGUACUGAGACAUUUGCACCAACUGUCAGAUCAACUCAAAGUAACAUACUUGAAUGUUACUCUGAUGCCGACUAUGCCAAUGAUCCUGACACCAGAAGGUCUAUCACUGGUUACAUCUUCAUGAAAAAUGGAGCAGCAGUGACGUGGAGCACUCAACGACAAUCAACCGUCGCUCUGUCUACCACUGAGGCAGAG